CCUACGGGAGGCAGCAGUGGGGGAUAUUGCACAAUGGGGGAAACCCUGAUGCAGCGACGCCGCGUGAGUGAAGAAGUAUUUCGGUAUGUAAAGCUCUAUCAGCAGGGAAGAAAAUGACAGUUCCUGACCAAAAAGCCCCGGCUAACUACGUUCCAGCAGCCGCGGUAAAACGUAGGGGGCCAGCGUUAUCCGGAUUUACUGGGUGGAAAGGGAGCGUAGACGGUUAUGUAAGGCUGGAGUGAAAGGCCGGGGCCCAACCCCGGGACUGCUUUGGAAACUGGUUAACUGGAGUUCAGGAGGGGCAGGCGGAAUUCCUGGUGUAGCGGUGAAAUGCGUAGAUAUCAGGAGGAACACCGGCGGCGAAGGCGGCCUGCUGGACUGAAACUGACGUGGAGGCUCGAAAGCGUGGGGAGCAAACAGGAUUAGAUACCCUAGUAGUC
rnacentral:rRNA from 1 species